GGAAGGAUCAUUAACACUAAUCCACAUACCUUAACCAAGCCUUCAGUGCUGCAAGAGCGCACGCUCGCGUGCUUCUGUUGCGGCAUCAUAAAUCUAAUCAAACAAAGGAGUUUAACUAAGCUCAAAUACCAAAACCAAAUUCUCAACGAUGGAUAUCUUGGUUCCCAUAACGAUGAAGAACGCAGCGAAGUGCGAUAAGCAAUGCGAAUUGCAGAACCGUGAGUCAUCAGAUUUUUGAACGCAACUGGCGCCGAUUGGCUAUCCAGUCGGCAUGCUUGUUUCAGUGUCUUAUUAUCUCCUCACCCAAAUCUUAAUGCGAGAGAUACCCUUCUCUUGUCAAAUAAGAAAGCGCUCUGAGCUCUGCAAGCGAUCUCGCUUCGGCGUUGGUCGCACUCAAUGCAGCAGUCACAUUCUCCAAUGUGAACUCAUUGAGAGUUGAGUCAGCGCAGUUAUACUGCAAGCGCUUAGACCUUCAAACUCUUCUUGCAUCUGAAAUCAAGCAGGAUCACCCGCUGAACUUAAGCAUAUCACUAAGCGGAGGAAAAGAAAUUAACUAAGAUUGCCUCAGUAACGGCGAGUGAAGCGGCAAAAGCCCAAACUGGAAAUCUUCGUGCUUCGCACGACGAAUUGUAAUCUGAGGAGCGAAUCUCACCUGGCUGAGGCGCAGAAGUGCCUUAGAACGGGCCGCCAAAGAGGGUGACAGCCCCGUAUGUGGUGCCUCGGCCUAACGAGAUCGUUUCUACGAGUCGGGUUGUUUUGAAUUGCAGCCCUAAGCGGGGGAUAGACUUCCUCUAAGGCUAAAUAUCUAUGGGAAACCGAUAGCGAACAAGUACUGUGAAGGAAAGAUGAAAAGAACUUUGAAAAGAGAGUCAAAAGACUUGAAAUCGUUGAGAAGGAAGCGGUAGAAAUUUAUUCUUCUGGGUAGAAUUAAGUGUUGGACUGGCGUAUCGGCGCGGCUCAGUACGUCAAAGGCUGAUCGUGUCGCGUGCGUCUUCCAUUGCGGAGUUCUAUUUAGUGAGGCAAGAUGGGGUGUCGUUCCCACAAAAGCUGCGCAAACCUGGCUUCACGGCAGUUUGUAUGUGCUAGUGGGGAUGGCGCCUGAGGAUGCCUUGUGCGAUCUUGCCAAAAUGGUUUUUACCGACCCGUCUUGAAACACGGACCAAGGAGUCUAACAUAUAUGCGAGUGUGCUGGCGGAAAAACCAACACGCGUAAUGAAAGUAAUUGAUGCCAAGGCAACAGCAGCAUCAACCGACCAUGAUCCUCUGGUGAAAGGUUUGAGUAUGAGCAUAUCUGUUAGGACCCGAAAGAUGGUGAACUAUGCCUGGGUAGGGUGAAGCCAGGGGAAACUCUGGUGGAGGCUCGUAGCGGUUCUGACGUGCAAAUCGAUCGUCAAACUUGGGUAUAGGGGCGAAAGACUAAUCGAACCAUCUAGUAGCUGGUUCCCUC
rnacentral:misc_RNA from 1 species